AUGCCUAUACAUUUUUCUAUAACAAAUGUUAGAAAAUAUCAUGUACGUGUGUACUCGGCCGUCUUCUGCAUUAUUGGCGACGUGUCCCAACGUAUCAACGCAGCGAAGGAGGCUUCCACGGGAGAAAGUGCAUCGAACGGCAUGUCACAUGUAGCGGCACGGCGAAGGAGGCAACCAUGGUACAGAAGAGCCUGGUCACGCCUCUCUGUCGAACGGACGUUGAAACAUGAGCUGGGCUAUUGUUUCAGUGCUUUGGCGAAAAUUAUAAUCAGAAACCAAAUGUGUAAAGUUCAGUGUGAGGUAAAGAAAUCAGCAGCAAUACCGCGGAUCACUGUCAUACAUAGACAUGGAGCAGUAGGUUUGGAACUAAAGCACCAGCAGACGUACACCCCACAGUGGCGUCCGAUCAACAUGGUUGAGACCUGCCAGGAAGAAUAUGAAGAGAGGAAUUCCACGGAAGAAGAACUAUGGUAA
rnacentral:rRNA from 1 species